AUUGAACGCUGGCGGCAUGCCUUACACAUGCAAGUCGAACGGCAGCACGGGAGCAAUCCUGGUGGCGAGUGGCGAACGGGUGAGUAAUACAUCGGAACGUGCCCAGUAAUGGGGGAUAACCCGGCGAAAGCCGGACUAAUACCGCAUACGACCUACGGGUGAAAGCAGGGGAUCGCAAGACCUUGCGUUAUUGGAGCGGCCGAUGUCAGAUUAGCUAGUUGGGGUAAAGGCCUACCAAGCGACGAUCUGUAGCUGGUCUGAGAGGACGACCAGCCACACUGGGACUGAGACACGGCCCAGACUCCUACGGGAGCAGCAGUGGGAAUUUGGACAAUGGGCGCAAGCCUGAUCCAGCCAUG
rnacentral:rRNA from 1 species